CGAGAAAAUAGCUGGUCCAUAUAUUUGAUUAAGCUGUCUGAUCUAUAUCGUGAUCAUGGUAAACAACGAUCUGCAGGACUAAAUGUGCGUCAUACACCUACCCUGCCACAUAACAAAAGCGUAAUCUCAGACAAGACAAAAUGUCUUGAGUUUUAUGUUUGGCACCGCCGUCAGACGUUUCACUAUACGGCUGGCUCCUAGCACACGAUAAAGUGUAUAUGUAUCCGGAUUCGAGCGUAGACCUUCACGCGUUUCAACGGCUGCUAACCAAAGGGGCUGUCAGUGACGUGGCUACAAAGUUGACGCAGACCGUGUUUUGAGAGUAACGCAUGUAAAAACAGUUAUCCGAGAGAUGGUGUGAGACUGCUCAGUGCAUGAAAGGGCCCCCAUAUUUGUUCUUCGAAAUUUGUUCACGCCCUUUAGCUGAAAAACUGAAAGAUCUAUUUGAGGCCGGCGUCACUAGGUCGGAACUCUAACCAUGAGGAACACAAUGGUACCAAUGAUACCCCGCAAGUGGACGAGAACAUCAAGGUUUAAAGCAGGACAACGCAGGUAGCGGGUUUUUGACGCGAACCGCUAGAGAGCUGGAGUUCGUUAAAGGCUAUGAAAAAAUACAGAAUCAAUGGACUUUGACCGGUGGCAUGCGAUUACCUCGGCGACGGCUGUACCCUACUCCGGUGCCGACUGUGGAAACGUAAUUUCCGUAUGCUGGACACUCGAACCCGCGCUGUUAACGCUAGCACCGCCUGAGCCAAACACGAAAGAGCGUUCCUAAAUAAUUUAUCAAAGUAGCCAGCGUUCGUUGCAUUAUCAAAAUCGCAGUGAUCAAAGCAACCAUCAAUCUUCUGACGACGUUUGUUAGAAAAAAAAACCCUGAAAAAUUGUUCUUUCUCAAAACUUAAUGUCGCCGAGUGGCCCGCAAGGCAGACACGAAGCAGAGUGUGAACCAAAGCUGGCGGGGAAUCGCUUCAGCGGUUCUAACACAGAUAGAUCUGCCUACUUCUCCUAUACAUAUAAACGCAUAGCCAGGGAAAUAACUGCGAGUUGUACCUAGAAAAAAAAACGAGAUAUAAAGAAAAAAAAAAAGAGAGAAAGUGGAGAGGUCUUGGUUCUACGGGAGGUUCACAGCGAUAGGGAUGGCUCUAUAUGCGGCCGCGAUAUAUUCGGAGAAAGCGUAGAGGGCGGAGAGGGGGCGUGAGGCUGACGUCGGCAGUGGCUUCUCCUAAGUGCAUUUUGCAGUAGCAUUCGAGAGACUGUUGGGUGAGGGAAAUCGGGUUAGGAAAGAUCGGCGGUGGAAAUGGGGUUGUGCACCAAGCAUCGUAAAGGCAAAAUGCGGUCGUUGUGGCGAGGCGCAGACGACGAUUUGGGUGCACCGCAAGAAAUAGUUUGCGAAGGCUGACGGAAAGAAUUGCGAUGUGAAGAAAACAUCGACCAAAGCGACGAUAUAUUGGGAUGGGGUAUGGAAGAUUUG